rnacentral:rRNA from 1 species
GAUGAACGCUGGCGGCGUGCCUAAUACAUGCAAGUCGAGCGAACAGACGAGGAGCUUGCUCCUCUGACGUUAGCGGCGGACGGGUGAGUAACACGUGGAUAACCUACCUAUAAGACUGGGAUAACUUCGGGAAACCGGAGCUAAUACCGGAUAAUAUAUUGAACCGCAUGGUUCAAUAGUGAAAGACGGUUUUGCUGUCACUUAUAGAUGGAUCCGCGCCGGAUUAGCUAGUUGGUAAGGUAACGGCUUACCAAGGCAACGAUGCGUAGCCGACCUGAGAGGGUGAUCAGCCACACUGGAACUGAGACACGGUCCAGACUCCUACGGGAGGCAGCAGUAGGGAAUCUUCCGCAAUGGGCGAAAGCUUGACGGAGCAACGCCGCGUGAGUGAUGAAGGUCUUCGGAUCGUAAAACUCUGUUAUUAGGGAAGAACAAAUGUGUAAGUAACUAUGCACGUCUUGACGGUACCUAAUCAGAAAGCCACGGCUAACUACGUG